GGAGAAUUACUCAAGAGGCUGAAGAGGACGGUUUGCUAAAUCGUUAGGUCGGGUUACCGGCGCUAGGGUUCGAAUCCCUAAUUCUCCGCCA
rnacentral:tRNA from 1 species